CGCGUAGGUGGUUAUUUAAGUGAGAUGUGAAAUCCCCGGGCUUAACCUGGGAACUGCAUCUUAUACUGGGUAACUGGAGUGCAAUAGAGGGUAGUGGAAUUUCCGGUGUAGCGGUGAAAUGCGUAGAUAUCGGAAGGAACACCAGUGGCGAAGGCGGCUACCUGGAUUGACACUGACACUGAGGCGCGAGAGCGUGGGGAGCAAACAGGAUUAGAUACCCUGGUAGUCCACGCCGUAAACGAUGAAAACUAGAUGUUGGGCAGCUUAGACUGUUCAGUAUCGAAGCUAACGCGAUAAGUUUUCCGCCUGGGGAGUACGGUCGCAAGAUUAAA
rnacentral:rRNA from 1 species